rnacentral:rRNA from 1 species
CCUACGGGAGGCAGCAGUGGGGAAUAUUGGGCAAUGGGCGCAAGCCUGACCCAGCAACGCCGCGUGAAGGAAGAAGGCUUUCGGGUUGUAAACUUCUUUUCUCAGGGACGAAGCAAGGGACGGUACCGGAGGAAUAAGCCACGGCUAACUACGGGCCAGCAGCCGCGGUAAUACGUAGGUGGCAAGCGUUAACCGGAUUUACUGGGUGUAAAGGGCGGGUAGGCGGGCAAGCAAGUCAGAUGGGCAACCCCUGUGCCCAACCGGUGGCCUGCAUUGGCAACUGUUUUUCUUGAGUACUGGAGAGGCAGCCGGAAUUCCUAUUGUAGCGGUGAAAUGCGUAGAUAUUAG